rnacentral:RNase_P_RNA from 1 species
GCUACAAGCCGUGCUAUCGCCCUGACUCGUCGGGGAGGAAAGUCCGGACAGCACAGAGCAAUGCACUUCGUGAUAAACGAAGCCCCCGGUUUGUCGGGGAGAGAUAGUGCCACAGAAAAUAACUGCUCCGACAUGUCGGGGUAAAGGUGAAAAUGUGAGGUAAGAGCUCACAGUGAGUAUGAGCAAUCAUACUUUCGGGUAAACCUUGCAUGCUGAAAUGCCACGUAUAGUAUCGCCUGAGAACGGCUCGUUCGAGAUACAGGGUAGGCAGCUUAGAUAAAUGAUAGCUGGUUCAACCAGGCUUAAGCUCUGGUGGAUAAACAAAAUCCGGCUUACAGGCUUGUAGCAUUU